rnacentral:rRNA from 1 species
AUUGAACGCUGGCGGCAUGCCUUACACAUGCAAGUCGAACGGCAGCACGGGAGCAAUCCUGGUGGCGAGUGGCGAACGGGUGAGUAAUAUAUCGGAACGUGCCCAGUCGUGGGGAUAACGUAGCGAAAGCUACGCUAAUACCGCAUACGAUCUAUGGAUGAAAGCGGGGGAUCGCAAGACCUCGCGCGAUUGGAGCGGCCGAUAUCAGAUUAGGUAGUUGGUGAGGUAAAGGCUCACCAAGCCGACGAUCUGUAGCUGGUCUGAGAGGACGACCAGCCACACUGGGACUGAGACACGGCCCAGACUCCUACGGGAGGCAGCAGUGGGGAAUAUUGGACAAUGGGCGAAAGCCUGAUCCAGCAAUGCCGCGUGCAGGAUGAAGGCCUUC